GUUGGGGGAGGGGCUUGGACCCCCCUAAUGUCCAUACCAUGGUUACGCCGUUGUGGUGACAGAACAACUGUUCAUAGCUGCGAUAACGGAGCGAGGCUUUGAUCCCAAGCUCCAGCUGUGGAAAGCGUCCCAUUUUCCCCAUGACAGAAAGAAGGAAUAGAUACUGUCCCGCUGUGUGUCUCCUCACAGCCGAAUCUGUCCUACUACCCCCUUCUCAUCCCACUGACUCUAGCCUCGAUUUAAACCGCAUGCAACCAGAAGUGUUUCGGACUCGAACAGACAUCAAAGCGUGUGGGAAAUGAGGUAAACGUGUGAUGUCAUGAGGCUGAGGUUGAGGCGGUGACUCCGAGACUCUUUUCCCGGAUCCAGAAAGGGAGCGGUGACGAAGGAGGCCGUCCGUCUGUCUGUCCGUAGACGCAUUUCCCCCUCGGGAACGUUUCGAACGACUACCCGAUCUGCGGAACUCUCCUGAAUGAGAACUACGCGGUUCCUGAACGAGUUCCUGGUCUGUUUUGACUGACCUACAUUGUCUCGAGUGAAGAGAGAACUCUCACUUCCAGCACUUCCAGUCCUAGAAGUGAAUAUAUGAAUAUAUUUGAAUAUAUAAUGACAUCAUCGUGACAUUCUGUCGUUAUUUCUCGCUGUAUCUUGAGCAAGUACCAAAAACACCAGGAACCUUUAGUCGGUUGACGGCAAAACGCCGUGUUGCAGCAGGAAAAGAUUCUGAAAGGAAAAUUCCACCCUGAACGCUUCGUAUACUCGUUCAAUUUUUGUAAUUAACACGUGAUCGAGAUUUCUUUUUUGGUAUAAAUAUAUAUAUUUGUUGCUCAGUUUUGUGUUAACGGUUUCACACAUUACCCACAAUGCCGUCCUGAUAGCGGCGCAGCACCAUCUUUAGCUAAAGUGAGUGAUGAUGCGGUGGCGCUUUAGAGUUUUAAUCUGAACACGCCAUCACGUAGGUCGCCAACUAGCCGAGCUGAUAGAGCCGCACUGCAUCCUGGGACGUCGCCACUAGUUCUGCACUGGAUUUGCUGCUGGAAAAGAAAGAAGCGCUCGCUCUCGUUCUUUCUGCGUCUCAGCUCUAACGGCGAAACCUGACCGCCACGAAAAUUCGAAUCUGCGUAGUAACCUACGGAAUUAAAUUCGUGCCAAAAGUAUUGGGACGUAACUUUUUACGGAAGGAAAAAGUUCACGUCCCGCCAUUCUGGCGCAGACCUCGUGUGUGGGCGGGGCUUAACAGCAGUUUACUCUCAUUGGUUAGAGAGAUUUGGAUCGACAGCUCGAGCGUCCGGUUGAGGAGGAGGAUGACGUUGACGCCGAUGAUAACGACGCUCCGUCCCAUACAUCUUUCAAUACAAACAUCUUGUAUAUAACGUAUUAUUUUAAUUAAAAAAAAAAGGUAAAAUUCAGGGUGCAGUUUUCCGUUAAUUAAAUCGAACCACUUUAUAGAUUUAUGGAUUAAAAACAAACAACACAAAAAGAGACUUCAGACGUCAGAGUGUUGUACAAAAAAAAAAAAAAAAUUCCCAAAACAAUUAUUCAACUUUAUUAACAUCAACAUUUUUUUAAAUUCCAGUUGUUUUUUUUUUUUUCUUUCUUCUUCUUUCUUCUUAACGAAUAGAAAACAGAGUGUGUAUACAACAGAUUUAAACCUCUACGGCACGAACCAUUCACAAGGUAAAAAGGAAACUUUUGGCCAGCUUAGUGUGUGGUUAUAAUCAGGCCUCCGCUGUGCUUCAUCAGAGACAACACACACACACACACACACACACACACACACACGCUCGCACUCUCACACACACACUCACAUACGCUCGCACACGCCCGGACACACCCGUACGCGUGUGGUGUGUGUUAGGGUUAAUACAGUAGAUAUUACUUUUCGCAGGAUUAAUACAGAUUUCACCCCCCCGCAGUCUCUCCGUAGUUGGUACGUCCCGAUCGUGUUCGUCCGGAAGAAGUGACGACUGAUCGUAUAUCUGUAGCUGUAUAUAUACUUUAUGAAUAAUAUUUAUACUUUCUCAUAUUUAUACGUGUAUAUUUAUAUAUUUAUAUUUUUAUAUAUAUAUAUCUAUAUAUAUAUAUCUAUAUUUCCGUAUAAAAAGUUCACUUGUGGAGUGGUUAAUACUGUACACUUGGAUGAGAAAUCAGACUCGGGAUCAAAACGUAUAUAUAUAUCGCGUGAUAGAUUUUUAACGCCUCGUAUACAGUAGGCGCGCACCGAUAAUCGAAUACGCCGUGUAUCCGUGCUAUUUAACACGUAUAUAUUGUUAGCGAACGUUCCACAGGAAGUGCCGGCCACAUGACCCGGCUCCGUCCAAUCAGCAUUAAGUGGCUACGGAACCGGAGGUGGAUGUAAAUGUGUGUGUGUUUGUGUCUGUUUAUUUAUUUAUUUACUUAUUGUGAUUCUAACCGACAACAUUGAGAUCGUGAUAAUAACUAUUAUCGCGAUGUAAAAAGAAACGGAACAUCGGCGCGCGCCUUUACGCGCGAACGUCUCCGCCGUGGCGUGUGUGUGUAGCGUCGCCGCUGUUGUAUCUGUAGAUUUUUUUUUUUUUUACGUCGAUAUUUUCUUUUCUACAAAGUAAUGAAGUUAACCCGCUGCGAUUCGUCGAAUAAUAAUAAUAAUAAUAAUAAUAAUAAAAAUGACAACUCAUAUAUAAAAGAAAUGAAAAAUGUUAUGAAUGAAAUCCGACAGCAGCGCUGAGGACGAACAGCGCCCUCGUGUGUUAGUACGUGUUAAAAAAAAUCACACACCCUGUGUGCUCAAAUAACCUAAAAAAAAAAAAGAAAGAA